rfam:Lupinus angustifolius cultivar Tanjil contig_1837, whole genome shotgun sequence.
AGGGGCGAUCAUACCAGCACUGAUGCAUCGGAUCCCAUCACAACUCCACAAUUAAGCGUCUUGGGGCGAGAGUAGUACUAGGAUGGGUGACCUUUUGGGAAGUCCUUUUGGUGCACCUC